AUUGAACGCUGGCGGCAUGCCUUACACAUGCAAGUCGAACGGCAGCACGGGUGCUUGCACCUGGUGGCGAGUGGCGAACGGGUGAGUAAUACAUCGGAACGUACCUUAUCGUGGGGGAUAACGCAGCGAAAGCUGUGCUAAUACCGCAUACGCCCUGAGGGGGAAAGCGGGGGAUCGAAAGACCUCGCGCGAUUAGAGCGGCCGAUGCCUGAUUAGCUUGUUGGUGGGGUAAAAGCCCACCAAGGCGACGAUCAGUAGCUGGUCUGAGAGGACGAUCAGCCCCACUGGGACUGAGACACGGCCCAGACUCCUACGGGAGGCAGCAGUGGGAAAUUUGGGACAAUGGGGGCAACCCUGAUCCAGCAAUGCCGCGUGAGUGAAGAAGGCCUUCGGGUUGUAAAGCUCUUUUGUCAGGGAAGAAACACCGGCUCUAACACAGUCCGGGAAUGACGGUACCUGAAGAAUAGGCACCGGCUAACUACGUGCCAGCCGCCGCCGUAA
rnacentral:rRNA from 1 species